CGGGACUGACCGUCAGGCACCAGGAGCGGAGGAGUCCCACACAUGUCCGCUGACCCGCCGAGCUCCAAAACAUCUCUGUCACCUCACGGGUGCCCUCUUGGGAAACAGUGUUUUGAAUUCCCCCAGUGAGCUGGCUUGGCCCACUCUCUAUCCUGGAUUGUGUAAACACUGCUGGUUUUUUCCGUACAGACUAGAACAAACAUCUGACCAUCAGUCCAGCUUUGCUGCCUGCGCUUCCUGGCAGACCACUUCAUCUCCAUCCACUUUGGGCAGAGGAGACACUGUCGUCGGUCGUGUCUGUUAUGUGCAUAAGUGUCCCAUUUCCAACUGAACUGGAGUGAACCCAAUGUCUGUCGUAGUCUGCACUUAAGUCUGGCUGCCUGAAGGUUUAAACCUACCUGGACAAUAAUAUUCGUCUGACUCACUGUUUGCAUGCUGAGAACAAAUAAACAUAUUCAUCUAGCGAAACA